rnacentral:rRNA from 1 species
CCUCCUCACCAUUUGAGCAAUGGGGGGACGCAGGAGGAUAGGGUAAGCGCGGUAUUGGAUAUCCGCGUCCAAGCAGUUAGGCUGGGAAAUAGGCAAAUCCGUUUCCCAUAAGGCUGAGCUGUGAUGGCGAGCGAAAUAUAGUAGCGAAGUUCCUGAUUCCACACUGCCAAGAAAAGCCUCUAGCGAGGUGAGAGGUGCCCGUACCGCAAACCGACACAGGUAGGCGAGGAGAGAAUCCUAAGGUGAUCGAGAGAACUCUCGUUAAGGAACUCGGCAAAAUGACCCCGUAACUUCGGGAGAAGGGGUGCUCUGUUAGGGUGCAAGCCCGAGAGAGCCGCAGUGAAUAGGCCCAGGCGACUGUUUAGCAAAAACACAGGUCUCUGCGAAGCCGUAAGGCGAAGUAUAGGGGCUGACGCCUGCCCGGUGCUGGAAGGUUAAGAGGAGCGCUUAGCGUAAGCGAAGGUGCGAAUUGAAGCCCCAGUAAACGGCGGCCGUAACAAUAACGGUCCUAAGGUAGCGAAAUUCCUUGUCGGGUAAGUUCCGACCCGCACGAAAGGCGCAACGAUCUGGGCACUGUCUCAACGAGAGACUCGGUGAAAUUAUAGUACCUGUGAAGAUGCAGGUUACCCGCGACAGGACGGAAAGACCCCGUGGAGCUUUACUGCAGCCUGAUAUUGAAUGUUGGUACAGCUUGUACAGGAUAGGUAGGAGCCUUGGAAACCGGAGCGCCAGCUUUGGUGGAGGCAUCGGUGGGAUACUACCCUGGCUGUAUUGACCUUCUAACCCGCCGCCCUUAUCGGGCGGGGAGACAGUGUCAGGUGGGCAGUUUGACUGGGGCGGUCGCCUCCUAAAAGGUAACGGAGGCGCCCAAAGGUUCCCUCAGAAUGGUUGGAAAUCAUUCGCAGAGUGUAAAGGCACAAGGGAGCUUGACUGCGAGACCUACAAGUCGAGCAGGGACGAAAGUCGGGCUUAGUGAUCCGGUGGUUCCGCAUGGAAGGGCCAUCGCUCAACGGAUAGAAGCUACCCCGGGGAUAACAGGCUUAUCUCCCCCAAGAGUCCACAUCGACGGGGAGGUUUGGCACCUCGAUGUCGGCUCAUCGCAUCCUGGGGCUGUAGUCGGUCCCAAGGGUUGGGCUGUUCGCCCAUUAAAGCGGUACGCGAGCUGGGUUCAGAACGUCGUGAGACAGUUCGGUCCCUAUCCGUCGCGGGCGCAGGAAAUUUGAGAGGAGCCGUCCUUAGUACGAGAGGACCGGGAUGGACGCACCGCUGGUGUACCAGUUGUUCUGCCAAGGGCAUCGCUGGGUAGCUAUGUGCGGACGGGAUAAGUGCUGAAAGCAUCUAAGCAUGAAGCCCCCCUCAAGAUGAGAUUUCCCAUUCCGCAAGGAAGUAAGAUCCCUGAAAGAUGAUCAGGUUGAUAGGUCUGAGGUGGAAGUGUGGCGACACAUGGAGCUGACAGAUACUAAUCGAUCGAGGACUUAACC